GCAAGUCGAGCGGUAACAGGAAUUAGCUUGCUAAUUUGCUGACGAGCGGCGGACGGGUGAGUAAUGCUUGGGAAUAUGCCUUUGAGUGGGGGACAACAGUUGGAAACGACUGCUAAUACCGCAUAACGUCUACGGACCAAAGGGGGGGAUUCUUCGGAACCUCUCGCUCAUUGAUUAGCCCAAGUGAGAUUAGCUAGUUGGUAAGGUAAUGGCUUACCAAGGCGACGAUCUCUAGCUGGUUUGAGAGGAUGAUC
rnacentral:rRNA from 1 species